CAAUUCUCCAAUGGCAUCCGGCAAAUUCCUCCACCUCAAGUUCUUGAGUAUUCUUCUUAUGAGUGGAUCUAAUUUUGACAAGGACUACAAUUAUUUAUCGUCGGUUCCUGUUUUCCAAGCAUCUCCUUCCCUGGAGACGUUUCGCUUGUUUGUAUGGGAGCACUCCAUGUAUCACUGGUUUGAGGGAGAUCCUGCCUCUCUUAGGCGACUGCCACAACACUGCCAUGGGAAGCUCAAGAGUGUGAAGAUCAUUGGUUUCUUCCCCCAAAAGAGCAUGAUUGAGCUGGCAUGCCAUCUUCUUGAGAAUGCAACAUCACUUGAGUCCCUUAUAGUGGAUGCUAGUCCUGCUAAUUACGGGUGUUCUGGCAAGGGCAGGAAAUGCUGUCCCCUGAAAUCAAUCUUGGCUGUGAAAAAAUACAUCAAGGGGAAUGUUCCCUCUACAGUCAAGUUAAAUGUGCUGAAGCCUUGCCAACGAUGCCAUCGCUUUUAGUAAUUCAGGUGUCAAAUCACUGUAGCUAUCUGAUACUAUUGAAUGGUGAUAUGUUUUAGUUGUCUGGUGCUAUGUUACAUUCAAGUCACCAGAGCUGUUUAGGAGUCUGUGAUAUUACCUUCCUGAUAACUUUGUUUACCAGAUUGUCCAAUGUACUUAAUAUUACUGCUGUCCAUUAAAUAUUGUUGUGAACUUGUAUUGUAUAAUUUUAUAUUUGCC